rnacentral:rRNA from 1 species
UACAGAGGUCUCAAGCGUUGUUCGGAUUCAUUGGGCGUAAAGGGUGCGUAGGCGGCGCGGUAAGUCGGGUGUGAAAUCUCGGAGCUUAACUCCGAAACUGCAUUCGAUACUGCCGUGCUUGAGGACUGGAGAGGAGACUGGAAUUUACGGUGUAGCGGUGAAAUGCGUAGAUAUCAGGAAGAACACCCGUGGCGAAGGCGGCUCUCUGGGACGGUACUGACGCUGAGACGCGAAAGCGUGGGGAGCAAACAGG